GGGUGUAGCUCAGUGGUAGAGCGUGUGCUUAGCAUGCAUGAGGUUUUGGGUUCAAUCCCAGUCCCUCCA
rnacentral:tRNA from 1 species